AUGUAUCAAGGUCGGAUAUUUUUCUUCGAGGCAAGUUGUUAUAAUAGAGCCAGAAAACGAUGGAUGCAUCAAAGGAAAAUAAUGACAGUACUGAGAACUUAUAGGGAAUCUCUCUUUUUGUGAAUGACAUGGGAAAGCUAUUGAUGAUCCUCUCUUGCUUCUCAAAAGAAGGUCACAAGACUCACAACUCACAAGAGGCCAAGUUUUGGCAUUUUCUUAUUGUUUGACGCCUUCACUUUUGGUAGUCUAUUAAUCAUAAUGCAACUGGAUUCACGGUCACUUCUGAAUCUUUUCGUUCCUAUCUGGACCACUACAUAAAGAAAAAGAAAGAGUCAUACCUGCAGCUUUUAGAAAUCCCAUGAUUAGAACAGAAGGGUAAAUCAUUAGCUUAUUUGAAUUUGAUUUGGACAUUGAAACUAAACGGUAAGCAACAUUUUCACUUUUUACCUCUUUUCAGUUCUUUCUUUGCUUGUUUGUACUCUCCUUUCCUUUGCAAGAACAUAAAACCCCUUCUUAAGGGAACUGUUGCGUUUCAA